rnacentral:rRNA from 1 species
AUGUGGUUUAAUUCGAUGCAACGCGUAAGAACCUUACCUACUCUUGACAUCCAGAGAACUUAGCAGAGAUGCUUUGGUGCCUUCGGGAACUCUGAGACAGGUGCUGCAUGGCUGUCGUCAGCUCGUGUUGUGAAAUGUUGGGUUAAGUCCCGCAACGAGCGCAACCCUUAUCCUUUGUUGCCAGCGGUCCGGCCGGGAACUCAAAGGAGACUGCCAGUGAUAAACUGGAGGAAGGUGGGGAUGACGUCAAGUCAUCAUGGCCCUUACGAGUAGGGCUACACACGUGCUACAAUGGCGCAUACAAAGAGAAGCGAACUCGCGAGAGCAAGCGGACCUCAUAAAGUGCGUCGUAGUCCGGAUUGGAGUCUGCAACUCGACUCCAUGAAGUCGGAAUCGCUAGUAAUCGUAGAUCAGAAUGCUACGGUCGAAUACGUUCCCGGGCCUU